AUGGUCGUCGUCUUCAAGUCUCAUCUUCUCCAAGUGGUCGGUGUAGAUGAUGGAGAUGAUGAUAGAAGGAUGGAGCGGUACAUCCCUCGCUCCGACAAUGCUUGCAAUAUCCCUCCGGCUUGUCGAUGUCCAAUGAUGAAGAUGUCUGGCUUCGUCAGCUCAGACAGAUGGGUGGCCUUCGCCUCGUCGGUGCCCGGCCUGGUUGUGUCCGCCUCGUUGGUGUCGGACAUGGUGGCUUGCCUUCGCCUCGUCGGUGCCCAGCAAGAUAUGGGUAGCUUCAUCGGAAGAAGACAUGUCGGUGAAGUAGCUUCGCUUCGUCGGAUGAAGAGUUGA
rnacentral:rRNA from 1 species